rnacentral:lncRNA from 1 species
GAGAGAAGUGAAAUGUGUGUAAUUCAGUGAAGCAAGCGAUCUAGUGAAGAAGGAAUAAGUGAGUAUCCAUUUUCUCCAUCAUGACUUGCUCAACCUCUUUUCGUAAUUUUUUUUGUAAUUCCCUAUAUAUUCUUUGUUUGAACUUUAAUUGAUAGGAUUAUUAUGUCUAGGGUUGAAGAAAAUGCAUGUUUCGAUACCAAUUUGUUUCACAAUUGAUA